rnacentral:rRNA from 1 species
UACAGAGGAUGCAAGCGUUAUCCGGAAUGAUUGGGCGUAAAGCGUCUGUAGGUGGCUUUUUAAGUCCGCCGUCAAAUCCCAGGGCUCAACUCUGGACAGGCGGUGGAAACUACCAAGCUGGAGUACGGUAGGGGCAGAGGGAAUUUCCGGUGGAGCGGUGAAAUGCGUAGAGAUCCGGAGGAACACCAAUGGCGAAGGCAGGGUCCUGGCUGGCACCUGACGCUCAUGUGCGAAAGCCAGGGGAGCGAACGGG